GCACUGAUUAUCAAAAAUCAGAGUUUAAAUGGGCAUUUGGUACAAAUUGGGAUGAUGCAAGACCCCAAGCCUGAUCAUGCUGGAGCAUAAUUAAACCUAGUCGAGCACAUUUGCACUCGAGCAGCGUAUGUCUACACCCGUCCACUUCGUCGCAGCUUCAUUCUUUCGCGAAGCAUCCUCCGUUUCCAGAUUUCUUCCCCCACCAGUCACCAGUGUGUCAUCCGAAUCCCAGCCGCCCAUUUGUGAUUCUCCCGCUCCAUCCAUGCGUUUACAGCAUCUCCCAGGGCCCGCAUCCUGACUUCAUCCCGCGAUGCCUCACAACAUCGCAAGCAUCCCACGCAUCCGACUGAUCCUCCCACGCAUCUCACGAGCUCUAACUUCCGGAUUCGCGAUCAGAUCUCCCGAGCAUCUCCGCGUUCCAGCCUUCCAGUGUCCGAGCUUCCUCUCCACGUGCGAUUAGCUCCUUUCCGCGUCCCUGCGUCUCAGUAGAUUCUUCCGUGUGUCCAAGGCCCUGCUACCAGCUUCCGUCCGAGUCCGCUUCUCCUGCGAGCCCACGCAUCCCAGCUUUUGCGAUCGUGAUCCAUCCGUGCGUCCACCUCUUUCGGAUUCGAGAUCCUCUGCAUCCUUCCAUUCCCAGCCGUGCGCCCCUUCCGAAUCAGCUUCUGAAUAAGCGAUCCAGUCGUCUACGUGUGAUUCUCCCGCAUCCAAGGCGCUGCGAUCUUCCAUUUUCGCUUGCAAGCCUCCCAGCAUCCGUGCCCCAAUCUCACGUGUUCCCAGCUGUCCGCGAUCCCUCUUCGAUAGACAUGAACCAGGCGUGCAAGCCUCCCGUGAUGCAAGCGAUCGCGAUCUUCCGUCCGAGUCCGCAAUCUCCCGGGAUUCAUCCUAUCCGUCUGUCUCCACCACGUGCAAUCAAGGGGGUCGAAGGCCAGGGAUUAUCUCUCUCUCGGUUGGAAGGAAGGGGCCAUCUCUCAUUCGAAAAAAAACAGAGGAGCCAGCCCCUGCCAUUCAAAAAAAAAGGGGAAGAAACAGGGGGGGCCUGUUUCCGAAAAGAAAAGAAAAAAAUGAGAGGGAGGAUAAUGUUUUUAAUGAGAGGCUGAUUUCUUAGGUGAAGGAUGAUGGAGGAACCUUUGAUGUAUUGCUUUCUUUGAAAUAAAUUCUGAACGUUUGCUCUUAUUGAUUUAUAUUUUUGAUGUGUUAUGGAUUCUUGCAUAAUUAUUUUUUAGAUAGUUCUUUAAUGAUUUAUGUUUAUUGAUGCA
rnacentral:lncRNA from 1 species